rnacentral:pre_miRNA from 1 species
GAAGUACUCACUCCGUCCCAAAAUUCUUGUCUUAGAUUUGUCUAGAUACAGAUGUAUCUAAUACUAAAAUGUGACUUGAUACAUCCGUAUUUGGACAAAUCUAAGACAAGAAUUUUGGGACGGAGGGAGUAUUAU